rnacentral:rRNA from 1 species
ACGAAGGGUGCAAGCGUUACUCGGAAUUACUGGGCGUAAAGCGUGCGUAGGUGGUUCGUUAAGUCUGAUGUGAAAGCCCUGGGCUCAACCUGGGAAUGGCAUUGGAUACUGGCGACCUAGAGUGCGGUAGAGGGGUGUGGAAUUCCCGGUGUAGCAGUGAAAUGCGUAGAUAUCGGGAGGAACAUCUGCGGCGAAGGCGGGUUGCUGGGCUGACACUGACGCUGAGGCGCGAAAGCUAGGGGAGCGAACGGGA